GCAGCCGCCGCGGUAAUACAGAGGGUGCAAGCGUUAAUCGGAAUUACUGGGCGUAAAGCGCGCGUAGGUGGUUUGUUAAGUUGGAUGUGAAAGCCCCGGGCUCAACCUGGGAACUGCAUCCAAAACUGGCAAGCUAGAGUACGGUAGAGGGUGGUGGAAUUUCCUGUGUAGCGGUGAAAUGCGUAGAUAUAGGAAGGAACACCAGUGGCGAAGGCGACCACCUGGACUGAUACUGACAAUGAGGUGCGAAAGCGUGGGGAGCAAACAGGAUUAGAUACCCCGGUAGUCCCUGUCUCUUAUAC
rnacentral:rRNA from 1 species